rnacentral:lncRNA from 1 species
UAGUGGGUGAGAUAAUUCAGCCCUUAUGGCUCUCGUGAGAUCAAAAGAGACAGUUACGCCAUAUUUUUAUCUAUUCGAAAUGGAAAGCUGUCGCAUACAAUGAAGGGAUAAGUCAGCUGAGGCAGCUCAUGCAUAGGUUAGACUUUGCGGAUGCCUCAGCUCAGCAGAGAGACUGACUCCUCAGCUCAUACGAUAAUCAGCGACUGUGUUGACGACUCGAGAGCCUGAAAUACCUUACGAUGCAAUGCCGAUCCAAGGUGCUUAUGGUAUCCCCC